UGUAUAAGAGACGGAUGUAUAGGAGCUGACGCCUGCCCGGUGCUGGAAGGUUAAGGGGAUCUGUUAGAGCAAUCGAAGCAGUGAACUUAAGCCCCAGUAAACGGCGGCCGUAACUAUAACGGUCCUAAGGUAGCGAAAUUCCUUGUCGGGUAAGUUCCGACCCGCACGAAAGGCGUAACGAUUUGGGCACUGUCUCAACAACAGACCCGGUGAAAUUGUAAUUCCGGUGAAGAUGCCGGAUACCUGCGACAGGACGGAAAGACCCCAUGGAGCUUUACUGUAGCUUGACAUUGGGUCUUGGUACUACAUGUACAGGAUAGGUGGGAGGCUUUGAAACCAGGACGCCAGUUUUGGCGGAGCCAUCCUUGGGAUACCACCCUUGUAGUACUGGGACUCUAACCAUAGGCCAUGAAUCUGGUCUUGGGACACUGUCAGGUGGGCAGUUUGACUGGGGCGGUCGCCUCCCAAAAGGUAACGGAGGCGCUCAAAGGUUCUCUCAGUACGGUCGGAAAUCGUACGUAGAGUGUAAAGGC
rnacentral:rRNA from 1 species